rnacentral:rRNA from 1 species
UGCCAGCCGCCGCGGUAAUACGAAGGGGGCUAGCGUUGUCCGGAUUUACUGGGUGUAAAGGGCGCGCAGGCGGAUUUGUCAGUCAGGGGUGAAAUCCUACAGCUUAACUGUAGAACUGCCUUUGAUACUGCAAAUCUUGAGUUCGGAAGGGAGAGGCGGAAUUCCAGGUGUAGUGGUGAAAUACGUAGAUAUUCGGUGGAACACCAGUGGCGAAGGCGACUAACUGGACUGAUACUGACGCUGAGGUGCGAAAGUGUGGGGAGCAAACAGGAUUAGAUA